CCUGUAGCUCAAUUGGAUAGAGCGCCUGACUACGAAUCAGGAGGUUAGGGGUUCAAGUCCCUUCAGGU
rnacentral:tRNA from 1 species